GACGAACGCUGGCGGCGUGCCUAAGACAUGCAAGUCGAGCGAUUAAGACUCCUUCGGGAGUGUAUAAAGCGGCGAACGGGUGAGUAACAGGUGGAUGAUCUACCUUCCGGUGGGGGAUAACGGCUGGAAACGGCUGCUAAUACCGCAUAAGCUUACCGGGACACAUGUAUUGGUAAGUAAAGGAGGCUUAGGCUUUCGCUUAUGGAUGGGCCCGCGUCUGAUUAGCUAGUUGGUAGGGUAACGGCCUACCAAGGCGACGAUCAGUAGCCGGCCUGAGAGGGUGGACGGCCACACUGGAACUGAGACACGGUCCAGACACCUACGGGUGGCAGCAGUAGGGAAUAUUGGACAAUGGGGGAAACCCUGAUCCAGCCAUGCCGCGUGCAGGAUGAAGGCCUUCGGUUGUAACUAGCUUUUGUACGGAACGAAAAGGUACUUUCUUAAUAAAGAAGACUCAUGACGGUACCGUAAGAAUAAAGCACCGGCUAACUACGUG
rnacentral:rRNA from 1 species